rnacentral:rRNA from 1 species
UACGUAGGGGGCGAGCGUUGUCCGGAUUUAUUGGGCGUAAAGAGCUCGUAGGCGGCUUGGCAAGUCGGGUGUGAAACCUCCAGGCUCAACCUGGAGACGCCACUCGAUACUGCCAUGGCUAGAGUCCGGUAGGGGACCACGGGAAUUCCUGGUGUAGCGGUGAAAUGCGCAGAUAUCAGGAGGAACACCGGUGGCGAAGGCGGUGGUCUGGGCCGGCACUGACGCUGAGGAGCGAAAGCGUGGGUAGCAAACAGG